ACCGCGCAGGUUGUGCGUGUCUUACUCUCCAGGGUCACUGUUUGCUUUUGAGUCUCUUCUGUCGUGCUCUGAGCUGCACUGGUCGUUGGAGUCGAGAGAAGGACGCAGAAGCGGAGGAAACUUCGCAAUGGACUCAGUGACCUUUGAUGAUGUGGUUGUGAACUUCACCCUGGAGGAGUGGGCUUUACUGGAUCCUUCACAGAAGAAACUCUACAGAGAUGUGAUGGAGGAAACCCUCAGAAACCUGGCCUCACUAGGAAAAACAUGGGAAGAUCAUGAUGUUGGAGAUCAGUACAGAAACCAUGGGGGGAAACUAAGGAUAUGAUUGCUAUUUCAGGAAGCAAGGCUGAUUUUCUGUAUUGAAUGCCCUGAGGAGAUAAACUUAUCCUGCCACUGGUGAUGAAAUUGUUGUUUUCUAGAAGGCCAAAGUGAGUAUUGGAGCUAAACUUAAUUCCUUCUUUUUUUUUUUUUUUUACAGGCCACACCUGAGGUAUAUGGACAUUCCCAGAGGUCAAAUCAGAGCUGCAGCUGCAGGCCUAUACUACAGCCAUAGCAACACUGGAUCCUUAAACCAAUGAGCAGGACCAGUGAUCAAAUCCACAUCCUCAUGGAUACUAGUCAGGUUCAUUACUGUUGAGCCACAACUGGAACUCAAAACUUUAUAAUAAAUUCCAUUCACUCAUCUUAGUAAGAAAAGGAAUAUAGUGGUCAUUUUUAUCUUUCCCCAUUUUUAUUUUAUUUUUGACCAUGCUGAAAGCAUGUGGAAGUUCCCCAGCCAAGAGUCAAACCUGCCACAGCAGUGGCCCACACCAUAGCAUUGACAAUGCCAUAUUCUUAACCACUAGGCCACCAGGGAACUCCUCUUACCAUUUUUAGAGACAGCAUUGUAAAAUAUUCUUUUUUCUUUAUUAUAGUUGAUUUACAAUGUUUUGUCUACAAAAUAUUCUUAUGUCUUUGUCUGUCAUGAUCACCAAGUACCUUUGGUGUAUAACAUUUUUCUCUUCAUCUGGAAAAGACUUUGCCUUUUGAAAUAUGCAGGCCAGCUCCUGGUCCUCUGGAAUUGCCUUCGCUUUUCCUGCUUGGGAUCCAGUUGUUUCCUGCCUGUUAUAUAAAUUUUCUGCUCAAUAUACUAUGUAAUCAUUUUAAUAUCUCUUUUAUGAUUCAACUGAGGCCUAUUCAGGUAAUUUGUGUCAAUUCGAGUGAUACUAUAAUUGAGUAUAAAAGGAGUGAUAGGAAGUUUUUAAUGUUUUUUUUUUUUUCUUUCAGUGGGACCUGGGAGCCAUUUGUUUCCAUGAUCUACAAGAAAGCCCCACAGUGGGUUUUUUGUUUUGUUUUGUUUUGUUUUUUAAAGCUGUACCUGGGGCAUCUGAAUGUUCCCAGGCUAGGGGUCGAAUUGGAGCUGUAGCUGCCAGCCUAAACCACAGCAACACAGGAUUAGAGCCCUGUCUGUGACCUACACCACACCUCACAGCAAUACCAGAUCCUCAACACACUGAGCGAGGCCAGGGAUCGAAUCCAAAACCUCAUGGUUCCUAGUUGGAUUCAUUUCCACUGCGCCAUGAUGGGCACUCCUUUUUUGUUUGUUUGUUUUUGAUCCAGGAAGUUUCAUGUGCCGAGGGUGUGACAUACAAAAAAGAAAAUUGAUUUAAAAAAUUUAUUUUAAAAAAAGGCAAGAGUUCCCAGCAUGGCAGAACGGGAUUGGUGGCAUCUCUGCAGAGCCAGGACAUGAAUUUGAUCCCCGGCCCAACACAGUGGGUUAAGGGAUCUGUUGCCCCAGCAUUGGUGUGGAUUGCUACUGCGGCUCAGAUCUGAUCCCUGGCCUGGAAACUCCAUAUGCCUCAGGGUGGCCAGAAAAGGGGUGGGGGGAGGAGUUCCCAUUGUGGCUCAGCAACUACUAUCCGUGGGGACAUGGGUUUGAUCCCUGGCCUUGCUCAGUGGGUUAAGGAUCCAGUGUUGUUGUGGCUGUGGCAUAGUCCCGCAGCUACAGCUCCAAUUGGACCCCUAGCCUGGGAACCUCCAUAUACAGCCCUAAAAAAAAACACACACACAAAAAAAGAAAAGGUGGGAAGAAAGGGCAUUGGUACUUGAAGCAUAGAGCAAAAAUUGGUCCCUCUGUCAUAUCCAACUUACUGGAAGAACUGUGUUGCCCUCAGUGGGUGCCUUCUGUAGUAGGUCACUUCCUUCUGGACACAUUGCCACUUGAGGUGUCACUCAGGAUCACAUGAGAGACCAGGGAGUUCACAUAGUUUACAUAAAGGGUGCUACUACCACCCUUGAUGGGGUCCACUGCAGAGAUGUUGCAUUCUGUCCCUAAAUCAAGCAGGCAACCUGGGAUCGGGGACUGGACCCAGGUGUUAGAUGAAUUAAUCCAGCUUCACGCAUGGUGCUGGCACUAGAGAAUUCCCUGCCACCAGUUGAACUCACGUGCACAUCAUUAUAGGUCCUUUGGCCACUGCCAAGAAUCCAGGUGUCACAUCUACCAGUAACAGCUCCUUUCCAAGCUCACCCUUUUGGCAUAAGAACACUGAGGAUACCUUGCCUCGCAAUAUCCAAGGACAAAUCAGUGCCAGUCCUCUCUGCACUUAUUAAACUUCAAACUGCCAAGGCUUAUUUCAAUGUACAGGGCAAUCAACUGACUUGAAUUUCUGACCAUGCUGUCACCUGGGAUCUGAUGGUAUUAACCUUGGCCCUGUGAGCCCCCACAAUCCAUAACCAUUUGGAGUUCUCUAACCUCAGUGGUAAGCAAAAUUCAUGGGCCAUCCCUUCUCUGCCAUGGCUGCCUUAGCAACUGGCUGGGGCAUCUGAUGUGAAUAAAUCCACCAUUGGUAAUAUACUCAAUGGACAGAGUUUCCAGACCAAGGAAGGAGUCCCUACAGCUGAUGGCAAACAGAUUUUCUAGCGCCCCUCACCCCCUCUACAGGCUACUUGCUAUGCUCCCAUGGUAGAUACUUACAUACAGAAAUUACUUAUCCUAUCAUACACAACCUUCCUGAAACCAAAAUGCCAUGACUCAUCAACACAGUGUAGAAACUAUUGACAUCAACUCAAUUCUAAAAAAACCAGGCUCUUGAAAAAGUCAUGCAGUGCAGUCAUAGGAUCCCAUUCUACAACCCUUAAAGGGUUUCCAAAUGCCUUCCUUAAACUUUGCUUUCUUCUCCAUAGUUCUUCCUGCUGUUCGGGGCAUUAUUCAGAUUCAAUCCACAGUGGUCCAGGUAAGUUACUUUGUUCUGAUCAUCAGGUUUACAGUUAUCUUACAGGUAGAGCCUUUCUGUACUAGACAUGUCUGUCAGAUUGGUCACUCCUACGGGUCUUUGGUUUAUUGUCAUAGGCCACCACUGUUAUACCCACUCCUGGGUCUUCCUCCUAAUAUCACCCAUAGACUGUUGCCCUUCGUUUCAGUAUUUCACUUUGACCACCUUUAAAACCCUCUGGGCCAUCCAACACAAAUGUGUCCUUUUCCUGCAAUUUACAAUCACAUGCUCAUUGUCAUUGGAGCACUGGUACUGACCUGGGCACACAUCAUGUCAUUUAACAAAUACAUUAGGAGUUCCCAUUAUGGCUCAGUGGUAAUGAACCCAACUAGUAUCCAUGAGGAUGUAGGUUCAGUCCCUGGGCUAGUGGGUUAAGGGAAACGGCGUUGCCGUGAGCUGUGGUCUAGGUUGCAGAUGCGGCUCAGAUCCAGUGUGGCUGUGGCUGCAGCGUAGGCCAGCAGCUGUAGUUCCAACUUGACCCCUAGCCUGCGAACUUCCAUAUGCCACAGUGGCAGCCCUAAAAAAGCAAAAAAAAAAAAAAAAAAAAAAAAAAAAA
rnacentral:lncRNA from 1 species